GGACUAAACCGGGACUAAACCGGGACUAAACCAGGACUAAACCAGGACUAAACCAGGUCUAAACCAGGACUAAACCAGGACUAAACCGGGACUAAACCGGGACUAAACCAGGACUAAACCAGGACUAAACCGGGACUAAACCGGGACUAAACCGGGACUAAACCGGGACUAAACCGGGACUAAACCGGGACUAAACCGGGACUAAACCAGGACUAAACCAGGACUAAACCAGGACUAAACCAGGACUAAACCAGGACUAAACCGGGACUAAACCGGGACCAAAUCAGGACUAAACAAGGACUAAACCAGGACCAAAUCAGGACUAAACUGGGACUAAACCAGGCCAGAACCGGGUCUAAACCAGGUCUAAACCAGGUCUAAACCAG
ensembl:lncRNA